UUCCCAUCUCCUUCAGCCGCGAUACCCCUUUCGCUUUUCUUUCAAAAUCAAACUCACCAACACAACACAUAGCAAUAGCAAAAAUUAACAGAAAGAAAGGAAAGAGAGGAGAGUGUGCGAAUCAGAAGAGAGGAGAAGGGGGAGAGUGCGCCGGCGAGUCACUGCCGCUCGUCGCGCCGCCGUCAUCGCCGAUGAUGGAGGAACAAAGAAAGUGUGUCGUUGAGUAAGGGGAGCUCGUGCGAGUGAGGAGCGUCGCCACUGCUGUCACACCGUACGCCGCCAGCUUCGUUGCACCUCGUCAUCACCAUCGCCGUCGGACCGCCGUGGAGUCGUUGCCGUCGCACCGGCGCUGCGAGAUGCUAUCGAGCCACAAGCAGGACCCAAUGCGAAGAGAGAGAGACAAAACAACACAAGGAGAGAGAGAAGGCGUUGCAGGGUGGUUUCUGUCGCCGCUGCUCUCGCUGCCAUCGCCGUGUGUGGAGCUCGCCGCUGCCGGAGUCACGAGCUGAGGAUUAAGCCGCUGCAGCUGUGGGAUGUGAUGGUUAAUGCUCUUUAAGAAUCGUUGCUGCUGGGGUGAUUGGAAUUGCUACUGCUAGUUCUAACGUUACUACCGUUGUUGUUGACUUGUCCCAAUUCAAGUUCAGUGUCACUGCCCUAGAGUUGUUUCUGCGUUUGAUUCCAUCAAAUUCAAUGUUGCUGCGAGUGUAAUCGGAGUUGGUGAUGCUGCCAUCGUCUCGGUUGUGUUGGAA